rnacentral:tRNA from 1 species
UCCGGUAUGGUCUAGUGGCUAGGAUACCUGGCUCUCACCCAGAGGCUCGGGUUCGAUUCCCGGUACCGGAA